rnacentral:miRNA from 1 species
CCGUCCUGAGCUUGUCGAGCU